rnacentral:rRNA from 1 species
UACGUAGGGCGCAAGCGUUGUCCGGAAUUAUUGGGCGUAAAGAGCUCGUAGGCGGUUUGUCGCGUCUGCUGUGAAAGCCCGGGGCUUAACCCCGGGUGUGCAGUGGGUACGGGCAGACUUGAGUGCAGUAGGGGAGACUGGAAUUCCUGGUGUAGCGGUGAAAUGCGCAGAUAUCAGGAGGAACACCGAUGGCGAAGGCAGGUCUCUGGGCUGUUACUGACGCUGAGGAGCGAAAGCAUGGGGAGCGAAC